rnacentral:rRNA from 1 species
UGGGGAAUAUUGCACAAUGGGCGCAAGCCUGAUGCAGCGACGCCGCGUGCGGGAUGGAGGCCUUCGGGUUGUAAACCGCUUUUGUCCAAGGGCAAGGUACGGCUUCGGGCCGUGUUGAGUGGAUUGUUCGAAUAAGCACCGGCUAACUACGUGCCAGCAGCCGCGGUAAUACGUAGGGUGCGAGCGUUAUCCGGAUUUAUUGGGCGUAAAGGGCUCGUAGGCGGUUCGUCGCGUCCGGUGUGAAAGUUCAUCGCCUAACGGUGGAUCUGCGGCGGGUACGGGCGGGCUGGAGUGCGGUAGGGGAGACAGGAAUUCCCGGUGUAACGGUGGAAUGUGUAGAUAUCGGGAAGAACACCGGUGGCGAAGGCAGGUCUCUGGGCCGUUACUGACGCUGAGGGGCGAAAGCGUGGGGAGCGAACAGG